rnacentral:rRNA from 1 species
UACGUAGGCAGCGAGCGUUGUUCGGAGUUACUGGGCGUAAAGGGUGUGUAGGCGGUUGUUUAAGUUUGGUGUGAAAUCUCCCGGCUCAACUGGGAGGGUGCGCCGAAUACUGAAUGACUAGAGUGCGGGAGAGGAAAGUGGAAUUCCUGGUGUAGCGGUGAAAUGCGUAGAUAUCUGGAGGAACACCGGUGGCGAAGGCGGCGUUCUGGACUGCAACUGACACUGAAAAACGAAAGCCAGGGGAGCAAACGGG